GAUGAACGCUGGCGGCGUGCCUAAUACAUGCAAGUCGAGCGAACAGAUAAGGAGCUUGCUCCUUUGACGUUAGCGGCGGACGGGUGAGUAACACGUGGGUAACCUACCUAUAAGACUGGAAUAACUCCGGGAAACCGGGGCUAAUGCCGGAUAACAUUUAGAACCGCAUGGUUCUAAAGUGAAAGAUGGUUUUGCUAUCACUUAUAGAUGGACCCGCGCCGUAUUAGCUAGUUGGUAAGGUAACGGCUUACCAAGGCAACGAUACGUAGCCGACCUGAGAGGGUGAUCGGCCACACUGGAACUGAGACACGGUCCAGACUCCUACGGGAGGCAGCAGUAGGGAAUCCUCCGCAAUGGGCGAAAGCCUGACGGAGCAACGCCGCGUGAGUGAUGAAGGUCUUCGGAUCGUAAAACUCUGUUAUUAGGGAAGAACAAAUGUGUAAGUAACUGUGCACGUCUUGACGGUACCUAAUCAGAAAGCCACGGCUAACUACGUG
rnacentral:rRNA from 1 species